GAAGCUGGACGUGGCGUACCGGCCGUCAGGCUUCUGGUAGCGAAGAGUCACUGGAGAUGAAGGAACGGCGUUUACAGACAGAUGAGAGGGAGCAAGGAGAUGCAGGGAAAGGCAGCAGUUUGAACAAGUGGCUGGGUUGAUGACGCUGAAGAGAGAGACUUCCUUGGAGCAGGUCUGGCAGACAGUCCGGAGACACCAGCAGGUCAUAGACUGAAACAGGACACGGCUGUUAAAACAUAUUCUGGUGUUGUCAAUUUUAGAAGAGAUUUGUCCUUAUUUCUGUCUGGAUGUCUUUGGCUCAGUGUCCCAUAGACGCCACUGAACCAGUGCAUUAGGGUAUUUUAUUAUGUGUGGCAGCGCAUGUGCACACACAUGCCGCAUUCUCCUGUUUGUGUCCUGCUGUGUUUUAUAGAGUGUUAGACAGAACUAGAAACAGUAGCUGCAAACUCUUUCCAUUGGACGCACACACUCAUCAA